AGAGAGAGAGAGAGAGAGAGAGAGAGAGAGAGAAGAAGAAGAAGAAGAAGAAGAAGAAGAGGAAUUGGGAAAAUCUAAUUGAAGGAUCGGGGGACGAGUCUCCACCUCAAGGUUGAGAAGGAGGCGUUUCGCUUUUGCCUUUUGAAUCUCUAAGGUGAGUGUGCUAUUUCAUUGAAGUGGCUAGCUAAAAAUAAACUUAUCAUUUUUCUGCAAAUGUUGGAAAUUUUGACGGUAGUGAUAUGGAUCAAGUUGCUUGAAACAUGAUUUAUUUCAAGAGCAUGCCAUAGCUGUAUUGUUGGUUGGAAUUGUUUUCUUCUUGAUGUACACAAGAAGGGUAUAAAUUGUCUGUUUGCUGUACACAAACAGGGUAUAAAUUGUUGGAAGUACCUGUUCACAGGGUCACGGUACCGUCAUAACUCCUGGUUGCGAGGGAAGCAACCCUAUGGUUUCUUGAAAUAUUGUUGCUUAUUUAAUGGUUUGUGAAAAAUAGUAUGUUUCUUGCUAAAUAUGAUUAGAAGCAUUACUCGAUCCAUAUUUGCUCGUGUAAAUUGUUUUAUGCUUUCCGCUUGAAUGAAGUAGUAACACUCACAAUCCUUUCAGGUAACUGAAGUAGAGUUUUGGUCCACUACUGGUCUGACAGGCUGUAGGAGAGAGGACGAGGGUCGACUUGGUGUCCUUUUGGCAUAGUACAUUUUGUGAUAUCAAUUUUUGGAGAGUUGUCAUACCUUAUGUGGAUGUAACUCAUCUUGUAAAGUUCUCUUGUAAAUUUUAUUUUGAAAGCCGGUUGUAAUAUUCUUAGUUGACUUUGUCUUGCGUUUAUGAUAUGAAUUUCAUUAAGGUUGAUAUUAAGCUUUCA